UUCCGGUUGAUCCUGCCGGACCCGACUGCUAUCAGAGUAGGACUAAGCCAUGCGAGUCGACGUAGCAAUGCGUGGCGAACGGCUCAGUAACACGUAGUCAACAUGCCCAGGGGACGUGGAUAACCUCGGGAAACUGAGAAUAAACCACGAUAGGUCAUGAUUUCUGGAAUGGAUCAUGGCUCAAAUCUACAUGGCCCCUGGAUUGGACUGCGGCCGAUCAGGCAGUUGGUGAGGUAAAGGCCCACCAAACCUAUAACCGGUACGGGCUCUGAGAGGAGAAGCCCGGAGAUGGGCACUGAGACAAGGGCCCAGGCCCUGUGGGGCGCAGCAGGCGCGAAACCUCUGCAAUAGGCGAAAGCCUGACAGGGUUACUCUGAGUGACUUUCGCUAAGAAAGUCUUUUGGCACCUCUAAAAAGGGUGCAGAAUAAGGGGUGGGCAAGUCUGGUGUCAGCCGCCGCGGUAAUACCAGCACCCCGAGUGGUCGGGACGAUUAUUGGGCCUAAAGCAUCCGUAGCCGGUUCUGCAAGUCUUCCGUUAAAUCCAGCCGCUCAACGGAUGGGCCGCGGAGGAUACUACAGGACUAGGAGGCGGGAGAGGCAAGCGGUACUCAGUGGGUAGGGGUAAAAUCCUUUGAUCCAUUGAAGACCACCAGUGGCGAAGGCGGCUUGCCAGAACGCGCUCGACGGUGAGGGAUGAAAGCUGGGGGAGCAGACCGGAUUAGAUACCCGGGUAGUCCCAG
rnacentral:rRNA from 1 species